rnacentral:rRNA from 1 species
UAACACAUGCAAGUCGAUCGGUAACGCGGGGGCAACCCUGGCGACGAGAGGCGGACGGGUGAGGAACGCUUGGGAAUCUGCCUAUCAGCGGGGGACAACACGGGGAAACUCGUGCUAAUACCGCAUACGCUCUACGGAGGAAAGCCGGGGACCGCAAGGCCUGGCACUGAUAGAUGAGCCCAAGUCGGAUUAGCUAGUUGGCGGGGUAACGGCCCACCAAGGCGACGAUCCGUAGCUGGUCUGAGAGGACGAUCAGCCACACUGGAACUGAGACACGGUCCAGACUCCUACGGGAGGCAGCAGUGGGGAAUAUUGGACAAUGGGGGAAACCCUGAUCCAGCGACGCCGCGUGGGUGAAGAAGGCCUGCGGGUUGUAAAGCCCUUUCGGUAGGGACGAAAGCUCUCGACCUAACACGUCGGGAGGUUGACUUAACCUACAAAAGAAGCACCGGCUAACUCUGUGCCAGCAGCCGCGGUAAUACAGAGGGUGCGAGCGUUAAUCGGAAUUACUGGGCGUAAAGCGCACGUAGGCGGCUUGGUAUGUCGGGUGUGAAAUCCCCGAACUCAACCUGGGAACUGCAUCCGA